GAAUAUUGGCCAAUGGGGGCAACCCUGAUCCAGCCAUGCCGCGUGUGUGAAGAAGGCCUUUUGGUUGUAAAGCACUUUAAGCAGUGAAGAAGACUCCAUGGUUAAUAACCAUGGACGAGGCCAUUAGCUGCAGAAGAAGCACGCGCUAACUCUGUGCCAGCAGCCGCGGUAAUACAGAGGGUGCAAGCGUUAGUCGGAAUUCCUGAGCGUAAAGCGAGCGUAGUUGGCUUGAUAAGUCAGAUGUGAAAGCCCCGGGCUUAACCUUGGAACGGCAUCUGAUACUGUUAGGCUAGAGUAGGUGAGAGGAAGGUAGAAUUCCAGGUUUAGCGGUGAAAUGCGUAGAGAUCUGGAGGAAUACCGAUGGCGAAGGCAGCCUUCUGGCAUCAUACUGACACUGAGGUUCGAAAGCGUGGGUAGCAAACAGG
rnacentral:rRNA from 1 species